CGGUGCAAAGUUAAAUUCGUAUUUUACACUUCUCUUAUAUUACACAACAUGCCAGGGGGUGUGGCAAUAAGCAACCUAAGGAGGGGAUCUGGCGUGUUGUCUAAAAUCGCUAUCCUACACAACCUAAAACGCAUUGCACCAAUGACCAAGAGAAACCUGGUCAGAAGUUCAUGGCGAGUUAGAAUGGUGGAAAGUAAC